ACGGGUGAGUAACGCGUGGGUAACCUGCCUCAUACAGGGGGAUAACAGUUGGAAACGGCUGCUAAAACCGCAUAUGCAUACGCUGUCGCAUGGCAGAGCGUGGAAAUAUUUAUAGGUAUGAGAUGGGCCCGCGUCUGAUUAGCUAGUUGGUGAGGUAAUGGCUCACCAAGGCGACGAUCAGUAGCCGGCUUGAGAGAGUGACCGGCCACAUUGGGACUGAGACACGGCCCAAACUCCUACGGGAGGCAGCAGUGGGGAAUAUUGCACAAUGGGGGAAACCCUGAUGCAGCGACGCCGCGUGAGUGAAGAAGUAUUUCGGUAUGUAAAGCUCUAUCAGCAGGGAAGAAAAUGACGGUACCUGACUAAGAAGCCCCGGCUAACUACGUGCCAGCAGCCGCGGUAAUACGUAGGGGGCAAGCGUUAUCCGGAUUUACUGGGUGUAAAGGGAGCGUAGGUGGUUCGACAAGUCAGAUGUGAAAGCCCGGGGCUCAACCCCGGGACUGCAUUUGAAACUGUCGAGCUAGAGUGCAGGAGAGGUAAGUGGAAUUCCUAGUGUAGCGGUGAAAUGCGUAGA
rnacentral:rRNA from 1 species